AACUUGUGUGUCGACCUUCUUUCUACACUUGGCCCUACUGGCAGAACCUACUACUGUCGAGUGCGUUUGAAUGUCCAAACAAAUCUCACAUUCACAGGAAGAGAAUCAUGAUGCACAUUUUGGUUUAGUUUUAUUAAAAUGUUGCAAUGUACAGCUUCUUUUCCUUGGGAACUUGAUGCCUAAUAAAAUAUGCAUAAUUACCAAUACAAGAGCUUCACGCACUGUCUGUGAGUCGAGGGCGAUGUCGAUGACCAGAGCCUCGGUUAUUAUUAACUGCAUGCAACGGGAGCUGGUCACAACAGCACGACAACAUGUGAAUAAUGUGCAGUGGCAACGAACGGAAACGGAAGUGAAUGUUGAGGGCAGCCAACCAAGUGCCGCCCCCAAGUUAAGUUGGCUGUGCUGUCGCUCAGUUUGCGCUUCAUUGCAUGCCAAGUUUUAAAGCGAACAUAUCCCUAAUUUGUUUGUCCUCUUUUCACCGGCAUGGCAUCCGGGGGCGGGCCGGCGACAACAGAGAAAUGCCAAUUAAAUUUUACAAUUACCCAAGCAUGAAACUGAUUCAUCAAAUAUACCCUAAUUCAAAUUCA